GACGAACGCUGGCGGCGUGCCUAAUACAUGCAAGUCGAGCGAGCUUGCCUAGAUGAAUUUGGUGCUUGCACCCGAUGACACUAGAUACAAGCGAGCGGCGGACGGGUGAGUAACACGUGGGUAACCUGCCCAAGAGACUGGGAUAACACCUGGAAACAGAUGCUAAUACCGGAUAACAACACUAGACGCAUGUCUAGAGUUUAAAAGAUGGUUCUGCUAUCACUCUUGGAUGGACCUGCGGUGCAUUAGCUAGUUGGUAAGGCAACGGCUUACCAAGGCAAGGAUGCAUAGCCGAGUUGAGAGACUGAUCGGCCACAUUGGGACUGAGACACGGCCCAAACUCCUACGGGAGGCAGCAGUAGGGAAUCUUCCACAAUGGACGCAAGUCUGAUGGAGCAACGCCGCGUGAGUGAAGAAGGGUUUCGGCUCGUAAAGCUCUGUUGGUAGUGAAGAAAGAUAGAGGUAGUAACUGGCCUUUAUUUGACGGUAAUUACUUAGAAAGUCACGGCUAACUACGUG
rnacentral:rRNA from 1 species